AACGAACGCUGGCGGCAGGCCUAACACAUGCAAGUCGAGCGGACCCUUCGGGGCUAGCGGCGGACGGGUGAGUAACGCGUGGGAAUAUGCCCUUCUCUACGGAAUAGCUCUGGGAAAGUGGGGGUAAUACCGUAUACGCUCUUCGGGGGAAAGAUUUAUCGGGGCAGGAUUGGCCCGCGUUGGAUUAGGUAGUUGGUGGGGUAAUGGCCUACCAAGCCGACGAUCCAUAGCUGGUUUGAGAGGAUGAUCAGCCACACUGGGACUGAGACACGGCCCAGACUCCACCGGAGGGCGGCGUUGGGGAUUCUGGAACAAUGGGGGAAGCCCGAAUCUGGCCAGGCCGGGUAGGUGAUAAGGGCCUUAGGGUUGAAAGGCUCUUUCAGCGGGAAGGUUAUUAACGGUACCAGCAAAAAAGGCCCCGCCAACCUCCUU
rnacentral:rRNA from 1 species